UACGAAGGGGGCUAGCGUUGUUCGGAUUUACUGGGCGUAAAGCGCACGUAGGCGGAUAGUUAAGUGAGAGGUGAAAUCCCAGGGCUCAACCCUGGAACUGCCUUUCAUACUGGCUAUCUCGAGUUCGGAAGAGGUGAGUGGAAUUCCUAGUGUAGAGGUGAAAUUCGUAGAUAUUAGGAAGAACACCGGUGGCGAAGGCGGCUCACUGGUCCGAUACUGACGCUGAGGUGCGAAAGCGUGGGGAGCAAACAGG
rnacentral:rRNA from 1 species